CCUACGGGAGGCAGCAGUGAGGAAUAUUGGUCAAUGGGCGCGAGCCUGAACCAGCCAAGUCGCGUGAGGGAAGACGGUCCUAUGGAUUGUAAACCUCUUUUGUCGGGGAGCAAAAGCCGCCACGCGUGGCGUUCCGAGAGUACCCGAAGAAAAAGCAUCGGCUAACUCCGUGCCAGCAGCCGCGGUAAUAAGGAGGAUGCGAGCGUUAUCCGGAUUUAUUGGGUUUAAAGGGUGCGCAGGCGGAAGAUCAAGUCAGCGGUAAAAUUGAGGGGCUCAACCUCUUCGAGCCGUUGAAACUGGUUGUCUUGAGUGAGUGAGAAGUAUGCGGAAUGCGUGGUGUAGCGGUGAAAUGCAUAGAUAUCACGCAGAACUCCGAUUGCGAAGGCAGCAUACCGGCGCUCAACUGACGCUGAUGCACGAAAGUGUGGGUAUCGAACAGGAUUAGAUACCCCUGUAGUC
rnacentral:rRNA from 1 species